CCGUGUCCCCUGCAUUGGCUGGAGGAUUCUUAACCACUGCGCCACCAGGGAAGUCCUAAAGAAAUAUUUUUUUUAAAAAAAGGUGAACAGGAACUUAAAAGGGUAAAUGGUCUCCCUCCAGCUCUUCCCUUUGAACUUGUGUGUUGAUCUGUGCAGGUUAUGUUCCUGCCUUGCUUAUCUUCCUUUGUAAUACCUGAUGAUUAAAGGACAGUUUUCAGAAGACUAAAAACUGGAAUGUAAGAAUGAGCCUUCCCCGGGGGUCCCUAAGUGCUUCCCUGUCCUCCUUUUAAUCAGUGGCAAUGCAGUCCUCCCAGGAUUGCUCCAGACUUCCCUGUGUGUAACUUCCUACCUAGGUUAAUAGAGUGGUUCACCAAGAGUCCGGUAAUAUGUUGCCAAGGAUCCCUAUAUAUUAUGCCUGUUUAAUUUCCCAAAUUUCAAGUGACUGUUGGUAUCUUAACACAGAAGCUUUGGCUAAUGUAUUUGUCUCCUAAUGAAUCACCCAGACCCAGGGUCUUUGUUUCGGUCAUUCCACCUCUCUUAACAGGAAACCCAGCAGAAUCAGGCUGAGGUCUAUUCAUUCGUGGUCUUAUGGAGCAGACUUGGUUAUAAAGCUUCUGGAUCAUCAGGGUUUGAAGAACUCUAAGUAAACGAGGAUGGUGUUAUCUAGAGGAAGCUGGAGAUGAAUUCUUUGUAGCAUGAAUUACCACACAUGACCUGCCAGGCCACAGAGAACCAGAGUCACUACUCAGCCAGGUGGGGGGCCGAGGCACACUGCAGCUCACAGCCCCCUCCCGACUGCUGUGGCCAUCCUUCUGCCUGGGCCUCCCCACCUUGAUCUCCUUGACAUUCGGGUUCCACUCGCCCAUGGCCUCCAUGUGCUCCACGAGCUCUUCGUAAAGCCUCUCCAUGGGCUGGUCCACUACCACCUCCAGCCGGAACACCUUGCCCACGUCUGGGAUCACUUUACUCAACACUUCGUCCCCAUUCGCCUAUCGGCAGGGAAGAGAGGAGCCCCAAGGGAAAGCCCUCCUGGUCACUGAGGAUGCCCAGGGCCCUCUGCAUGGCCUCCUCUCCCUGCUGGAUAUAGGCCAGUUCUUGGUCGCUGUAGAGAGUGUCUUCCAGCUGAGAACCUGGACACAAAGCCACGGAGAGACUGAGCUUCCUAGCCUCCCACGAGCUUUCACCCCUUUCAUCUCUGAAGAGCCCAGACCAAAGCCAUAUGGUCCAGCCUGCAGAGGAGGAAGCUGGCCUGGGGCAGAAAGUGACUUGAUGAGGAAUACCUCCAGGGCCAGAAACCUGCCUGCCUUCUGGGCUGGCCGGGCCUGGAGGCAGGGCCACACUCAAGCUUGCUGAAGUUUCCUUCUUGAAAGGGAGAGAAGCUUUGAACAACCUAUCCUGCUACAGAAGGGGAAUUACAGACACCCGUCCCCUGAGGUCUGUGUGGCCUCUGCGUGAGUAACUGCUCCGUGUGCCCGGGGGUUCCCGCUGAUGUAGAGAGAACAGCCCCACGCCGGGUACAGGUCUUCCAAGUGCGGCUUCCAUCUAAACAGUGGCCACCUGAACCCAAUGUAAUUAGAAAGGACUUGCUUAGGUUUGUCUGUGGUCCCUUCAGUGACGGUGACAGCAGCGGACUGACUCCAGUGACCCUGGUUUCCGCCUCCUGACUGAUGACAGCGAGACUCCCCACCUCACCCACCUUCCCUCUCUGAGUGCUCCUCGGCUGUCUUACUCCCCUUUCUUGUCCUUCGCCCCGUCUCCCGCCUGCCCUGCCUCAGGCUUGCCAACACAGCUUCCUGGAGUCCAGGCUGACUCCUGCCUCUGCCACCACGGCUCGGACUUCCCUGGCACCCUUGGUACCCAUUCUAGAGACAGGCAGAGUCAGGAAGAAGCCAAGACAGCUCGGAGCACUGGAGGGGAGGCCGGGGACGACAGAGUCUGCAAGGCACCCAGGAACCUUCGUAUCCAGCUGCGUUCUUCAGCAUGGGGGACACUGAGUCGACAGUUUUGCUGACCGUGAAGGAGCACAGAGCUAACUUCUCUCCUCUGUCUGAACACUAUGAGGAUUCAGAACCUUGGUAGCAGCAAGGGCCUUUUAUUCCCAUCCACCUCCUCAGCGAGUCCAGACGAAUUUGGGGGACACGGGUUUGAGCCCUGGUCCGGGAAGAUCCCACAUGCUGCAGAGC